rnacentral:rRNA from 1 species
AGCAGCCGCGGUAAUUCCAGCUCCAAUAGCGUAUAUUAAAGUUGUUGCAGUUAAAAAGCUCGUAGUUGAAUUUCGGGGUCUGUCCAUUGGUCGGGCUUCACGGUCCGUACUGGUGUGAUGGGUUCCUACCUUCUGAAUAACCAGCAUGCCAUUUAGUUGGUGCGCCGGGGAAGCAGAGCUAUUACCUUGAAAAAUUAGAGUGCUUAAAGCAGGCUAGUGCUUGAAUAGAUUAGCAUGGAAUAAUAAAAUAGGACGGCAUGGUUCUAUUUUGUUGGUUUCUAGGAUCACCGUAAUGAUUAAUAGGGAUAGUUGGGGGCAUUAGUAUUCAAUUGUCAGAGGUGUAAUUCUUGGAUUUAUUGAAGACUAACUUCUGCGAAAGCAUUUGCCAAGGAUGUUUUCAUUAAUCAAGAACGAAAGUUAGGGGAUCGAAGACGAUCAGAUACCGUCGUAGUCUUAACCAUAAACUAUGCCGACUAGGGAUCGGACGAUGUUAAUUUUUUAAUGACUCGUUCGGCGU